AUUGAACGCUGGCGGCAUGCCUUACACAUGCAAGUCGAACGGUAACAGGUCUUCGGAUGCUGACGAGUGGCGAACGGGUGAGUAAUACAUCGGAACGUGCCCAGACGUGGGGGAUAACGAGGCGAAAGCUUUGCUAAUACCGCAUACGAUCUAAGGAUGAAAGCAGGGGACCGCAAGGCCUUGCGCGUUUGGAGCGGCCGAUGGCAGAUUAGGUAGUUGGUAGGAUAAAAGCUUACCAAGCCGACGAUCUGUAGCUGGUCUGAGAGGACGACCAGCCACACUGGGACUGAGACACGGCCCAGACUCCUACGGGAGGCAGCAGUGGGGAAUUUUGGACAAUGGGCGAAAGCCUGAUCCAGCAAUGCCGCGUGCAGGAUGAAGGCCUUCGGGUUGUAAACUGCUUUUGUACGGAACGAAAAGGCUCUGGCUAAUACCUGGGGCACAUGACGGUACCGUAAGAAUAAGCACCGGCUAACUACGUG
rnacentral:rRNA from 1 species